CACGACGCGUUCACUCGCACACGGAGGAGGCACCGGAGCGCAAAGCCGAGCAGUUAAUCGGGCAGUGUUCAGUGUUGUGUUCACCGUUCACCGUUCACCGUUCAACGUUCAACUUCAUUCUUCGCUCCUCGCCCUUCGCCAUCUACCUCCUCGUUCGCCAUGACGACGACGACGACGACACAACGAUGCGGUCGCGUCGGUCUCCUUGUUCUCUUUAUGGAGCAACGUUUCUCGAAGCUUUUUCCCGUGCUCGUUUUCUUAGCAGAGUAUAACACGCGAAAGAUUUAUAACUCAAGGGACUCCAGAAUGUUCUCUGAUGAAGGAUUCCAACUUCAUUUUAGUUUUAAUUCGAAAAAGGUUUGAGUUAAUUACCGGAAAGAAACAACUACCAAAAGUUUCCUUGUAAAAACGUGAAAGUCUGAAUUACACUGUUAAUUGUUUACAAACAUGUGUUUUGUAGCAGAUAUACUUGAAUCCCAGGGGCACAAGUCAAUGAGUCAACUUGUUUCGGUACUAACGUAGACAAGUCUUAUAUCCAUGAUAUUGGUAGCUUAAGCGCAAUAAUCACUACAAAAGCGUCUCGCCAAUUUCUGCAGAGAUCAUGAUUCAGAAUUUUGCUAGAUCUGAAGACAAGCACAAUAAACGCCAAGAUCCUUUGUGAGGGCCACUGAUCCUGUAACGCAUUUCUCAGUUGAGGGACGUUGACAACGAAGAAGAUAUGGUUGAUGUUACACUAUCUCAUUUAAAAUAAAUAAAAAUAAGGAUGAUGUAAAUGCUCUAACCUCCAUCGAUUGCUCGUUACUUUGAAUGAGAAAUAA
rnacentral:misc_RNA from 1 species